rnacentral:rRNA from 1 species
UACGUAGGGUGCAAGCGUUGUCCGGAAUUAUUGGGCGUAAAGAGCUCGUAGGCGGUCUGUCGCGUCUGCUGUGAAAACUCAGGGCUUAACCCUGAGCUUGCAGUGGGUACGGGCAGACUAGAGUGUGGUAGGGGAGACUGGAAUUCCUGGUGUAGCGGUGAAAUGCGCAGAUAUCAGGAGGAACACCGGUGGCGAAGGCGGGUCUCUGGGCCGAUACUGACGCUGAGGAGCGAAAGCGUGGGGAGCGAACAGG